AACGGUCUAUACCUGCGGUACCUGCGGAGGGAUCAUUAACAUAUACAUCUAUACGUAUGAUAUGUGAUGGACCCCUCUGUGCGUCGUGAUUACUGAAAAAAUAAAGGUAAAUCUCCGGGGGGAAGAUGUAAGAAGGAGAGAUCGGGUGAGUGUGACCUCUCCGACCCUUUCCUCCUCUUCCCCAGGAGAAUACCUUUUAGACAUACGUUUCUCCUGCAAGUAAAAAUGAUCAAUGAUAAU
rnacentral:misc_RNA from 1 species